rnacentral:rRNA from 1 species
UACGUAGGGUGCAAGCGUUGUCCGGAAUUAUUGGGCGUAAAGAGCGCGUAGGCGGCUAGGUAAGUCCGACGUGAAAUCUGGAGGCUCAACCUCCAGCGGUCGUUGGAAACUACUUGGCUAGAGUCCGGAAGAGGAGAGUGGAAUUCCUGGUGUAGCGGUGAAAUGCGCAGAUAUCAGGAAGAACACCUAUGGCGAAGGCAGCUCUCUGGGACGGUACUGACGCUGAGACGCGAAAGCGUGGGGAGCGAACAGG